UGAGGAAUAUUGGUCAAUGGGCGCGAGCCUGAACCAGCCAAGUAGCGUGAAGGAUGAAGGUCCUAUGGAUUGUAAACUUCUUUUAUAGCAGAAUAAAGUGACCCACGUGUGGGUUUUUGUAUGUAUGCUAUGAAUAAGGAUCGGCUAACUCCGUGCCAGCAGCCGCGGUAAUACGGAGGAUCCGAGCGUUAUCCGGAUUUAUUGGGUUUAAAGGGUGCGUAGGCGGAAAGAUAAGUCAGCCUGUGAAAGUUUGCGGCUCAACCGUAAAAUUGCAGUUAAUACUGUUUUUCUUGAGUGUACAUAAGGUAGGCGGAAUUCGUGGUGUAGCGGUGAAAUGCUUAGAUAUCACGAAGAACUCCGAUUGCGAAGGCAGCUUACCGGGGUACAACUGACGCUGAUGCACGAAAGUGUGGGUAUCAAACA
rnacentral:rRNA from 1 species